GAUGAACGCUGGCGGCGUGCUUAACACAUGCAAGUCGAACGGUGAACGAGGGAGCUUGCUCCCUCCGGAUCAGUGGCGAACGGGUGAGUAACACGUGAGCAAUCUGCCCUGGCCUCUGGGAUAAGCGUUGGAAACGACGUCUAAUACCGGAUACGAGGCGUGGGGGCAUCACCAACGCCUGGCACGAACUUCGGUCCAGGAUGAGCUCGCGGCCUAUGAGCUUGUUGGUGGGGUAACGGCACACCAAGCCGACGACGGGUAGCCGGCCUGAGAGGGUGACCGGCCACACUGGGACUGAGACACGGCCCAGACUCCUACGGGAGGCAGCAGUGGGGAAGAUUGCACAAUGGGCGCAAGCCUGAUGCAGCAACGCCGCGUGAGGGACGACGGCCUUCGGGUUGUAAGCCUCUUUUAGCAGGGAAGGAGCGAAAGUGACGGUACCUGCAGAAAAAGCACCGGCUAACUACGUGCCAGCAGCCGCAGUAACAC
rnacentral:rRNA from 1 species